GGAGAUAUGGCUCAGUAGUUAAGAGCAUUGGUUACUUUUCCCAAGGACCUGGGUUUGAUUCCCAGUAUCCACA
rnacentral:tRNA from 1 species